UUCUGUUUUCCCGCCGUCUCCACUCUGUCUCCCUAUCUCGACCUCAGGUAGCGGUAGUGAAGAUGAAGCAGACGGGCCAGGUGUAUGCCAUGAAGAUCAUGAACAAGUGGGACAUGCUGAAGAGGGGCGAGGUGAGGGGCUGGGCGGGCGUGGGGGGCUUUGAGGAUCCGCGCCCCGUCUCCAGCUGCAGCUCCUCCGGGUGCCCUGCAGGUGUCGUGCUUCCGUGAGGAGAGGGACGUGUUGGUGAAUGGGGACCGGCGGUGGAUCACGCAGCUGCACUUCGCCUUCCAGGAUGAGAACUACUUGGUGAGCUCUGGGCCGGGGUGACUAGGAAGAGGGACAGAGCCCGUGCUGUCACUGGACGAGGAGGUGGGGAGAGGAAGCUCUAGGAUUGGGGGUGCUGCCCAGAAACGUCUGUGGGAAAGUCUGUGUGCGGUGAGAGGGUGUGUCAGGUGGAUGAGGGGCCUUCCCUAUCUGGGACGGGGAUGGUGUCCCUCACUGCCCGUUUCUGGGGUGAUUUGGGGGACUCCUAUAAAGAUGUUUCUGUUGCGGGGGGGUCUCCUGGAAUGGGAUAGGUCUUCAGGAAUUCUAACGGGGCCACUGCCUAGGGAGGGAGUGUCUGGGACCUAUUCUCUGGGUGUUGGGUGGCCUCUGGGUUCUCUU
rnacentral:sRNA from 1 species